CCUACGGGAGGCAGCAGUGAGGCAUAUUGGUCAAUGGGCGUAAGCCUGAACCCGCCAAGUCGCGUGAGGGCUGAAGGUUCUAUGGAUCGUACACCUCUUUUAUAAGGGCCUAAUGUGUGGGUAGUGUCCUCUUUUGUAUGUACCUUAUGCCUAAGGAUCGGCUAACUCCGUGACAGCAGACGCGGUCAUACGGCGGAUCCGAGUGUUAUCCGGAUUUCUUGGGUUUAAAGGGUGCGUAGGCUGCCUUUUAAGUCAGCGGUGAAAGUCUGUGGCUCAACCAGAGAAUUGCCGUUGAAACUGGGCGGUUUGAGUAUGUUUGAGGCAGGCGGAAUGCGUGGUGUAGCGGUGAAAUGCUUAGAGAUCACGCAGAACCCCGAUUGCGAAGGCAGCCUGCCAAGCCAUGACUGACGCUGAUGCACGAAAGCGUGGGGAUCAAACAGGAUUAGAUACCCUAGUAGUC
rnacentral:rRNA from 1 species